CCUACGGGUGGCAGCAGUAGGGAAUCUUCCACAAUGGACGAACGUCUGAUGGAGCAACGCCGCGUGAGUGAAGAAGGGUUUCGGCUCGUACAGCUCUGUUGGUAGUGAAGAAAGAUAGAGGUAGUAACUGGCCUUUAUUUGACGGUAAUUACUUAGACAGUCACGGCUAACUACGUGCCAGCAGCCGCGGUAAUACGUAGGUGGCAAGCGUUGUACUGAUUUAUUGGGCGUAAGGCGAGUGCAGGCGGGUCAAGAAGUCUGAUGUGAAAGCCUUCGGCUCACCCGGAGAAUUGCAUCAGAAACUGUUGAACUUGAGUGCAGAAGAGGAGAGUGGAACUACAUGUGUAGCGGUGGAAUGCGUAGAUAUAUGGAAGAACACCAGUGGCGAAGGCGUCUCUCUGGUCUGCAACUGACGCUGAGGCUCGAAAGCAUGGGUAGCGAACAGGAUUAGAUACCCUGGUAGUC
rnacentral:rRNA from 1 species